UACGAAGGGGGCUAGCGUUGUUCGGAUUUACUGGGCGUAAAGCGCACGUAGGCGGAUUGUUAAGUCGGGGGUGAAAUCCUGGGGCUCAACCUCAGAACUGCCUUCGAUACUGGCAAUCUAGAGUCCGGAAGAGGUGAGUGGAACUCCUAGUGUAGAGGUGGAAUUCGUAGAUAUUAGGGAGAACACCAGUGGCGAAGGCGGCUCACUGGUCCGGUACUGACGCUGAGGUGCGAAAGCGUGGGGAGCAAACAGG
rnacentral:rRNA from 1 species